rnacentral:rRNA from 1 species
UACGUGAGGUGCAAGCGUUGUCCGGAAUUAUUGGCGUAAAGAGCUCGUAGGCGGUUUGUUGCGUCGGCUGUGAAAUCCCGAGGCUCAACCUCGGGUCUGCAGUCGAUACGAGCAAACUAGAGUGUUGCAGGGAGACUGGAAUUCCUGGUGUAGCGGUGAAAUGCGCAGAUAUCAGGAGGAACACCGGUGGCGAAGGCGGGUCUCUGGGCCGAAUACUGACGCUGGAGGAGCGAAAGCGUCGGGGAGCGAACAGG